rnacentral:lncRNA from 1 species
GAGCAAGCUUUCUGCCGGUCAAAGUAUUUAAAAUACAGAAGGGGAGAUAGGGAGGAUAUGACUACAGGAAAGGUGUGAGGGAGGGAGUGGGGAAAAUCUCUCAGAAGCAGGAGAGUUUGGAGCAAAUGAGACCGAAGGGUUCCUUGCAGGGAGGUACAGUGGACCCCCAGAGUGCGAAUGCCACAGCCUCUCUCCUGCUGCGACACCUUCUGACCCAGCCCUCUCCUCACAGGUGUGUGGCCGCUUCUAGCCUGAAGAAUCCCGAGCUUGCUUACGCCCCUCGCCGGCCUCCGCAGCACUUCGCCUGUCCCUAAGAGGAAGCAUCAGAGAAGAAAGAAUGGCUGUGAGCCACCUGCCAACCGUGGUCCAGGACUUGGUGACUUUCAAGGAUGUAGCUGUGCUCUUCACCCAGGAGGAAUGGGGGCAACUGAGCCCUCC